UUUCCAAUAGCAAAGCCUUCAUAUUCAACUAUAUCUCCAGCUCUUUUUUACUUCAAGACAAUCUCACUAACUUGAGUAGGCGGCCUUAAACUUGAAAUUUCCAUGCCACACCUGUCAGAGUGCUGGGAUUUCAGGCAAACGCCACAAGCCUCUAUAGCUUUUGAAAAGUAAGAAGUGCUUUUUUAUUGAUAUGUGUUUGCAGUAUAUGUUUACAUUUCUUGUUGGAAGUUGGUACAUGUACGCAGCACAUCUUGUUUUAUUUUUUAUCCUGCCUCCUCAAUGUCUUUGAUCCCUUAUCUUCUGCAAAAGAUUUCCCUGUUUUCUAUGAUCUAUUAUUUUGCUAAGCACUUCUUUUAAGGUCCAUCUAUGUUGCUUUUAAUUCUACACCACAUUCUAAAAGAGUGCAACUACAUUUCACCUGUGCUAUUUACAGUGAGUGACCGUGAAUAAGAACAGAUUCCUUGUUCUCACAAUCAACAUUGAAGGAAACAUUCUAACACGUCUCCUUCUGGAUUUGUGUAAGAAAGUAUUUAAAGUACAUAGGCCACUAUGUUCUCUUGUAUGGUGGCCAUCACUCACACUGUAAGGUGCACUUCUUUUCCUACUUUUACUUGGCCCAAACUCACUGAAAAAUCUGUUUCUUUUCCUAUCUUUAAGAAUAUUUUGCUGCUGUUUGUGCUUAUCUGGACCAGUUCUUUGCUCUGGAAGAAAAGAAAAAAACAGAAACCACCUCAAGAAGGAGACUUUAGCACCCUAAAACCUGGUGACAUAGCCAGCCAAGAGAGGAAGUAAGGCCCUUUAGGCACUUUUUGUUGUUUCUAAAAUACCACAAAAGUUUCUUUUUCUCUUCUCCCCCUUCCCGCUUCCAUCUUCCUUUUUCCAUUUUCUUUCCCUGUCUCUGUCUCCUAGGCUGGGGAAAUGGGGACUCUUUCCCCUGGCACCAGGAACUGUUUUCUGCUUUGCCUGUCAUGUGGCAGGGGAGAGGAAAAUACAUGGCCUCCGUGUUUUUCUUCCAGCCAUAGGAGACCUACAGGCCCACUUGAAGCUUGUCUCCCCCUUUCUUUUUCCCAUUUUUGGUCACUAAUUAAAGAUACAAGUCUGUAAAGAAUAUUAGCCCAGUUGAGAACAGACUGUUGAGGUACCAUGUUGGUGACCCAGAAUUUAGUUGGAGUUUUUGUCCUUAUGUUUCUGUUCUCCAUGAUACUUUGCUCAGCUUUCUUAUUCAUUGGGGGAAAAUACCUGUUAGCAACUUAGUCUGCCUGAGUCACUGCCUACCCAGGUUUACUAUUUUUGAGCUUAAAGUCUCAGCCAUACUUUUCCUUAAAUGUUUGUUUCUUUCUUAGUGUGCUAUCUUAGGGUCACCAUAUCUCGUCAUAUAACUGGCUGCUCAUUUUGAGUCAGCCACAUGCAUUUCAACUGACCUCAUAGUUAGGUGCUAAGCCUCUGAUUAUAAGGAACAUGUGGACUUUUUCCCUGUUUUGAAUGAGGGUAGUUUCCUUCUUUCUUCUAACAAAAUGCAGAUAAUAUACCUGAGAGCCCGAGAAGAACAAAAGAACAGUUAGUAGAGCUUAAUUCAAGUGACUGAGUCAAAGAUAGAGCCAUCCUCAUUCUUAUGAUUUUAAAGUUUUGGUUUUUUUUGUUUUGUUUUCUGUUUUGUAGCAGGGAUUGAACUCAUGAACUCGUGCUUGCCAUGCAGGUGCUUAUACCACGGAGCUAAAUCCUCAUCCCGAAAGGUUUCUUCUUUAAAAAAGAAGUUUCUAUCUCUAUUACCUUAAAUAAAGUACCAAAGUGUUUGCUAUGAAGGUAAAUGCAAAAGAUGUUGUUUCUGAAAUGGCUCCAUUCUGUGAGAGUAGAGCCAUUCUUGGUUCUUGGUUAAGGGAGUCACAGUGGAGAGGGACUCCACCCUGAUCUCAUGGGGUUUUUGAAGGGCUAGGUAGAGCCAUCAAGUGUACAACACUGCUCUUCCUAAGGAGUUAAUGCUUUCUCCUCCUUCAAAAGUCCUCAGUAGCCCACUUUCUUCUGUGCUUCUAUGAAAGAUGCUGGCAUCAUCCUAGCUUCAGACAGAGACAUCCAUCUAGUAAAUGCUUGAGUCACACAAGAGACAUUUUAUAGGCUCAAAUUUGGUGACCUACUUCUGCAUGGGAUAUCAUCAUAAGGACCUUAGACCUCCAUUCUCUCUCUGUAGGCCCCAGGAUGACCAACAGGAAACAUCUUGAACUGCACCCUACAGAUUCCACCAACUUUGCCACUAGGCUGUAUCCUUGAUCAUUGGGAAAGGUUUGAUCCUGCCAGUUUAAAAAAGGAAACAGCAUAUCUACUAUUGUAAUAAGGUUUGAGUUCAGUGUGAACUAGGAAAUGAUUAGUGAUGGGUCUGUGAUGGCUGUUUAAAUUAUGAGACUAUUUUUCAGUUAAACUGUUUCUGCUUAAAACAUAAAAUAUGCCAUGAAAUCUUUACUUCAGGAAAAUCCCAGAAACUAUGAUAUUUAGAGUGGCCCCUGAGGAAGAGAGAGAUAUCCUUGAUGGGUCCUGUCCUUGGAACCCCCACUUGUCUCUCAGGGGGAUAUGGGUUUCUCCCACUUGUUUAAUGAAGAAACUUCAGAUGAGACCCAUGGCACCUAUGACCCCAAUUGCUUGACAUAUAUUCGACAACUGGGAUCCAGAAAGAGAUUAAGGGACUAAAAGAAAAAGGCUAAAAUGUAGCUGUUACAAUUGUCAAUGCUUUACACGCAUCCAAAUUGUAUAAGGGAAAGUCUAAGAAUGAUUGAGAGCAAGAAAACUGGACACUGGGCACCCAUUUACACCAAGCCACUGCUUGGACCCUGCUCCAAGUGUGAGGCAGCUAAUGUGCUUGACUUAUGGCAGUGGAAGUUUGUCUCUGCUCUCAGAGAUAGGCUAGGCUAGCUAAAAUACUCAAUUCCUAAUCUGAAGAGGUGCAAGGGAGCCUUCAAUGUCUCUGUCCAUGGGUGUUUUCAUCUUCUAUGAGGUACCCUGAGUAUCAUAGUACAUUAUUGAUGAGCCAAUUCAAUUACUUCAUUCUAUUUUCACUUAUUUCUCUGGAAAACUUUCCUCUAGAUCUACAGCCAUGGUUGGAGUUGAGGAGAUACCCGAGUUGAUUCUUUACUCCUGCCUUGUUACGUCACUUUGAAGGCCAAAUGUUUAGUAACGAGAUUCUAAAUGUCCCACAAUGUCCACUUUCUUGCAAAGAAGAGAUUUACUAGCAAAAUUUGAGUUAAUUCUCAAAUUCUGUCAAUGUCCAAAAUGGACAAGAUCCUAGCUUUAUUCCCAGUUCCUGUGGAACCAUUCUGGUCCUUCCUCAAUGGAUGCAGUCACAAGCUAUAAAAAUUCUACAUGGAAAAUGGUCACUACACUUUUCACAGGACUAAGAAGAAAGCUACUCCUGAGAACCAGUGGAAGACCUGAGGCUCCUCUUCAGAAAGCCAGUCAACCACAAAACCCCCAAGGUAGUUGGAGAGCAAGUAAUCCCAACUAGUUGGGUCUACAGUCACUUCCAACCUAGAUGCUACAGAAGAAAAAGAUCUUCACUUCUUCAGAGUUAUGGACUAAAAACUGGUGGUCAGCUUAAUACAGGCUGAAUUAAAUCAGCAUGCUGCUCGCUGACCAUAGAUAGCCCACCUGAGGAAAGUUGCCAGCAUAAAGAGGUUAAAAAGACGAGUGAGGCAUUGUGAGUUUCUCUAAGUGUUGCUGUUUUCAGCCGUGGGUUCUACUGGAGGAGCUGCUCAAGACUAGCUUCCCCAGUGUGAGUUCGACCAUUGUCAACAGAGGAACCCAGAACCUUGUUGGUGAGAGUGGCUGUCGUUCACUUUGGGGGAGCUUUGGUCAAGCAUCUUUCCUGGCUCCAGAGCGGAUAGGGGAAGACAUGUGCCAUUUAAUCUCAUGCUUGUUUUCUGGCAUGUACUUGUCUGUUCAUAUAACCAGAGGAGCUCAGGAUCUCUGUUUCACUGAGGAUGCCUGUGGUGCUUUUCAGGACAACCCUGGUCUUUAUUAUGAGCAUGACUGCUCGACUCCAGUAUAGAACCCUCAACAUACCAACACAGCUCCUUCACUCCACUGGCAUAGACUUUCUAGCUUCCACCGCUGACCUUUGGGCCUUCUCAGUGUGGAUCCAUAAAACAGACUGGCAUGAGCCCUUCUUGUGGGCUCUAGAUCUCCAGUUGGACUUGUGGGAGGCAUUGUCAUGGGCUCUAGGUUUUUAUCUGGACUCAUGCAGCACAUUGCUGUGGGAUCCAGGCCCUUUGCCGAAUGUUCUUUAGUGUUAUGAACAGAUUUCCUGCAUUUUCUUGUGUUACACUAUGCAUGACCGUCAUAAAAUAAUAAUAUGACUUGUGUCCUGAUUCUAAUUGUUCUCUACACAACCCCUGGAUACAACACUCUAUAACCCAUACAGACUUAUGAGAAUAUAUGUCUCUGAGGUAGAAGUGAGACAGGAAUGUUGGGCAUGGUUAAAAAUUAGCUGGGAAAGGAGGCAUGACAAGAUCUGGGAACACAUGCCCAGAAUAGUCCCCAAAGCCUUGCAUGUAGACUUCUUGCAAGAACUCAAGCAAGUUUUCAAUAGGGCGACUUAGACUUGAUGUCAGCCUGAAGAGUGGGUGAUACAAGAACAGUCCAUGUUGAAUUUUUGCCAUUGUUUUCUCUCUAGCAUGGUGAUCCAUCCUCAUGCUGUAGGGUGUGCUUCUUUACCUAAUUUUACUUGGCCCUAACUUGCCCAGUAGAGGCCUCUUUUUUUUCUUACCUUUAAUAAAACUUUGCAUUAAAUUGUUGAGUUGUGGGAGAUACACACACUCAAAAUGUCCUGUGCAGUCUAUAUUCCCAACAUCAGUGAAUUGAAUUUUCUUGUAGACACAUCUAUCAAUAACUGAUAUAAUGGAACUCUUUGAAAGUCAAAAAUAUGUAAAGUGAUAACUCAAUGUUUUGGUUUACAUUUAUCUGGUUACUAAUGAUGAUGGACAUCGUUUUGCAUUUGACCUUUUGUGGUUUUCUGUAACUUUCCUGUUCAUGUCUCUUUUUAUUCUCCCUUUGGAUUUUUUCAAAGUAUAUGGAGAAAUGCAUGUAGGAUAUAUAAACUCACUGAAUAGAUUUGUUUUACUUCUACCAAUGUCAAGAAAUAGAAUAUUGUCAGUUUCUCACAUUUGGUUCCUAUGCAUCCUCCUAGUCAUUAUUCCUUCUCCCACCCAAAAGGUAACUCUCAUCUUGAAUCCUAAAUUAUGAAGUCUUCACAUGCUAUAUUAUCUUUUAUGCUUGACUUAUUUGCUCAAACUUAUUUGUGAGAUUUAUUCAUAUGGUAUAUAAGUGUUUAUUCAUGUUAGUGAAUGUUUCCUCUCCUUCCUCCUGUACUGGAAAUGGAACUCAAAAGCCUUUAGCAUCCUUUUGGAUCCGAGUUUUUGGAGUUUUCUGUAACUUUCCUUUUCAUGUCUCUUUUGUUUCCCAUUGUAAUUUUUCAAAGUAUAUGGAGAAAUGCAUGCAACAUAGACAAAUGCACUGAUUAGAUUUGUUUUACUGAUACCAAGGUCAAGGUCUGGCAUUUUUUAAGCAAAUGGUCUAUCACUGAGCAACAUCCUCAGCCCAAUUUUAGUAAACAUGUUUGCAGUUGUGUGCUUUUCCUUUUCUUUCUUUCUUUCUUUUUUUUUUUUUUUUUUUGUUACCAGAGAUUGAACACACAACCUUGCACUUGCCAGGCAGACACUUAUGCCACUGAGCUAAAUCCCCAUCGCCUAGUUGUGUGCUUUUUUGAGUAAUCUUACUAUAAUUACUAGUAACCUGAUAACAUAUGUACAGUCUUUUGUUGGGUGUAUACCAAAAACAUAGAAUUGUAUACCAUAAAUGAUGGAAAAGUUAGCUUUUAUAGGUAAUGCCAAACACUUUUACAUGAUGACUAUUACACUUUAUUCUCCUGCUAAGUAUACCUUUUCUUUCUUUUUGUGCGGGGUGAUCGAAGUCAUGGCCUCGUGCUUACCAAGCAGAUGCUUACACCACUGAGCUAAACCCCCAGUCCCUUCUCCUGCUAACUAUGUAUAGCAGUUCCUGUUGUUCUGCAUCCUCAUUAGCACUUACUGCAAAUAUUUUAAUUUUAACCAUUCUAUUAUAUAUAGUGGUAUCUCCUGGUUCAAUGAAUUUCAUGCUACUGUGGUUGCGCUUUUCUGUGUUUAUUGGUCAUUUAGAUACUUUUAUAAAACACUUGUUCAACUUGCUUGCUCAUUUUUAUACUGGGUAGAGGUAAGGUCCUUAUUGACUAGUAAGAAGACUUCAUGUGUUCUAGAUGUAAGCCUGUUAUUUUACUACAAAUAUAUUUUCUUUUAUAAUUUCUCUUUCACUUUUUCCUUGGUUUCAGUGGUCAAAUAUUCUUAAUUUCAAUGCAUUUCAAUAAAUAUUUUCUUUGAUAACAAAUGACAUUUUGUGUGUCCUAUUAAAAUCUUUCUCUAGUUUGGAACUUUUGUUUUGCAUUUCACAUUUAAAGCUACAGUUUUAUUGGAAUUGAAUUUUCAAGUUGGAUGACUUAGACAUCAAAUUUGAUUUUUAAUAUAGGAAAUUUAUAAUUUAUACUUCAUCAUUGGUUGAAAAUACUUUCUUAAGUGCUCUGGCAGUGCAAUUUUUAUAUUAAAUCAAGCAUUUUUAGAUGUUAUAUCUGUUUCUGGUAUAUGUAUUCUACUUUGUUGUUCUAUUUGAGAAUUCUUAUGCCAAUACUAUAUUACCCUUAUUAUGUAAGUUUUGACAUUAGAGUCACUAAUUUUUGAUAUGGACUUGGAUUUGUGUUAUAGAAUUGACUGCUAAUCUUUAGAAUUCACAAAAAUAAAAGAAAAACAAGAAGAGGGAAAAGAAGAGAAGAAAAGAAGAAAAAAAGAAGAAGAAAGAGAAGUCAGGGAUGGUGGCACGAACCUGCAAUCCCAGUACUCAGGAGGCUAAAGGAGGAGGAUUGCUGCGAGCCUUGGGCCAGCCUGUGCUACAUAGCAAGUUAAAGGCCAGCCUGAACUACACAGUGAGGCCCUGGAUCAAUUAGAAUCCAUUGUUAAUUUCAUGAAAAUUUUGAUAUUUUAAUUGAUUGAUUUUGGACGAAUUUAUAUUUGAACUUUAUUGAAUCUUCUGAUAUGUGAAUGUUGGGUUCUUUUCAUCUGUUUAGAUCUUCAAUUUCUCACUAUUUCAUAGUUUUCUACCUGAAGCUCUUGCUUCUCAUUCGUUAGACUUACUUUGUAGGUAUCUGAUUUUUUGUGAUGCUACUAUAAAUGAUAUUUUCUUAAAAUUACACUUUGUUAUUAUUUAUUUGUUUUUUGUUUUUCUAGUAAUUUGUUUUAUUCUAUUUUUUUACCCUCUAAUACAGAAAGGAUAGAUGUACAUGUAGAGUCUUACUAAAGUGUUUACAAGAAUUGAUUGAUUAUGCAUGAUGAUAUGAACAGCUACUUUGAAGAAAAAGAGCCAUUGUGGCAGCCAUUGCUGAUUUCCUAUCAUCAUGUUGUGAAGUCCAGUCAUGCUUUUAUUCUUUGUUUAGAGUGUUUUUAGUCUGUUUGUAUUAUUUAAUUUCAAUAUAUAUGAAGAUAUAGACAGCUAUUUGAAGAGAACAAGAGACAUUACAGUAGCCAUUGUUGACUUUCCUACUGUCUGGUUUUGAAGGACUAUAAUGCUUUCAUUCUUUUGUUUCGAUUAGUUUUAUACUGUUUUAUUUUGUUUGAAUUCAUUGUGUAUGAAGAUAUAGACAACUAUUUCAAAGAAAACAGACAUUUUGGUAGCCACUGUUGCCUUUUUUUUUUUUGAAAUUCUGUGUUGAUUGUAUUGUUUUGUUUUGACCUGUUUUGUUUUGUUUUAUCCUCUUUAAAAUAAAAAAAAAAUUAAAA